UACGUAGGUGGCAAGCGUUUGUCCGGAUUUACUGGGCGUAAAGGAUGCGUAGGCGGAUAUAUAAGUCAGAUGUGAAAUACCCGGGCUCAACUUGGGUGCUGCAUUUGAAACUGUAUAUCUAGAGUGCGGGAGAGGUAAGUGGAAUUCCUAGUGUAGCGGUGAAAUGCGUAGAGAUUAGGAAGAACACCAGUGGCGAAGGCGACUUACUGGACCGUAACUGAACGCUGAGGCAUGAAAGCGUGGGGAGCAAACAGGG
rnacentral:rRNA from 1 species